AGCAACUCAAACAUUCUUGUAAGCUCUCUUGUAAUAUCUCUUGUGAGUAAUACAAUUCUCUUCAUUCGGCUCCAUUGCUCUCUUCUCUCUAACUCUUCGAAACCUCUAAGCUUAACUAGUCGAGAAGCUCAAGGCUUACUUAACAACCUUCGGCAAAAGUUGUCUAAGUGCCGCACGAAUUCGUUGCGCAAAACACUCAUCCCGUGACAAUAAGCCACCUUCAUAACCUAAAAGUGUAAAAAAUAUCUCUUAAAAUACCUUAAAGUUGUCACAUGCCAAUAGAAAACCAUUGAAACAAUGUCAGCCCCUCCAACACUCACAUGCACCAAGAAAAAAAAAACGGAACCAGAUCAACUGCUGCCUAAACCAUCACCAGUGAAGUCAACAACUCCCUCAACUCAAUUAGAAUCAGAGGUUGAAGCAUGCUAUUAGUGGGGACAAUCUCACAGGUGAAAGGUGUCCAACCUUAAAGAUCUCAAAGGAUGCAAAUAAAUUGCCAAAAUUACUCUGCAACACCAACUUGAGGGGAGAACAACUUAUAACGGUACGUCACGUGUUCAAAAAGACAUAAAGAUGCCCUUGGGGGCACUCAUUUAUAAGGUCAAGUCAGUCCCAUAAGUAAGGUAAGAUUUCUCUCUCCCACAAAUACUCAAAUUUUCUCUUAUCCAAGGAUUUCUCUAAAACCAAUUAUCUUCUCAAACUUUCAUCUGACUUGACCAUCAGAAUGCCAUCGUCGACUACUGUGAAACCACCUCAUUUUUGUUUUUGUUUUUAGGACUAUCCCAACUUUAACCAUUCCCAGAAAACUGUCUUGAUGCGAAACAACCCCCAUCAUUCACAAUAUCACCCCUCAAAUGGAAGCUCUCAUAAUAUUUUUGACUUAGAACUAAAAUUAGAUCAAAAUAUGAUUCCUUUUUAAUCUUUCAUGUAAAGCUUUACAAAGAUUGUUCAAAUUAAGAAAGAAAUCUGCUACAUAAUUAAGACUUCCCAAAAAUCUUUAUGACCAAGUCAUUUCAAUAACUUGAACUGAAAAUUUGUUAGCAAAGGCUAUCAAUCAAUGGGUAUUAUUAUUCUUGAUGAAUAUUAUGACCAAAAACCAAAUUUUAAUUUGAAACAAAAUGAUUUUUUAUUUAGCACAACUAAUCUGUUUUGUUUUGUUUGACAAUAGAAAGAUGUCUAAAAUGUCGUUUUAUGUUUGAAGACAAUAUUAUGACAUCAUCAAUAUAACCAAUUAAGAAUUUUGAAUAUGGAUUAAAAAUUUCAUUCAUUAUUCUUAGAAACUCUGGUGGAGCAUUUAUUAAUCCAAAUGGCAAUAUAUUCAUAUCGCCUAUUAUAUGCGUACACACAUAUAAAGCAGCAAAGGUGGGGACCGACCGGACAGGAUUCAUGCAAACUCUUCAAAUUUCUGUUGAACCCAUUUGUUGUAAUCUUGCAGCAACUGCCGUAAAAGCAAUGGGACAAGCCUAUCCACGAGAGCUUGCAUCAUUCUG
rnacentral:lncRNA from 1 species